rnacentral:rRNA from 1 species
CGCGUAGGCGGUUUGGAAAGUCAGAUGUGAAAUUCCGGAGCUCAACUCCGGAACUGCAUUUGAAACUUCCAGACUAGAGUACAGUUAGGGAAAACGGAAUUCCACGUGUAGCGGUGAAAUGCGUAGAUAUGUGGAAGAACACCAGUGGUGAAGACGGUUUUCUGGGCUGAAACUGACGCUGAGGCGCGAAGCAAGGGGAGCAAACA